rnacentral:rRNA from 1 species
GGGUUGUGAGGUUAAGCGACUAAGCGUACACGGUGGAUGCCCUGGCAGUCAGAGGCGAUGAAGGACGUGCUAAUCUGCGAUAAGCGUCGGUAAGGUGAUAUGAACCGUUAUAACCGGCGAUUUCCGAAUGGGGAAACCCAGUGUGUUUCGACACACUAUCAUUAACUGAAUCCAUAGGUUAAUGAGGCGAACCGGGGGAACUGAAACAUCUAAGUACCCCGAGGAAAAGAAAUCAACCGAGAUUCCCCCAGUAGCGGCGAGCGAACGGGGAGCAGCCCAGAGCCUGAAUCAGUGUGUGUGUUAGUGGAAGCGUCUGGAAAGGCGCGCGAUACAGGGUGACAGCCCCGUACACAAAAAUGCACAUGCUGUGAGCUCGAUGAGUAGGGCGGGACACGUGGUAUCCUGUCUGAAUAUGGGGGGACCAUCCUCCAAGGCUAAAUACUCCUGACUGACCGAUAGUGAACCAGUACCGUGAGGGAAAGGCGAAAAGAACCCCGGCGAGGGGAGUGAAAAAGAACCUGAAACCGUGUACGUACAAGCAGUGGGAGCCUCUUUAUGGGGUGACUGCGUACCUUUUGUAUAAUGGGUCAGCGACUUAUAUUCUGUAGCAAGGUUAACCGAAUAGGGGAGCCGAAGGGAAACCGAGUCUUAACUGGGCGUUAAGUUGCAGGGUAUAGACCCGAAACCCGGUGAUCUAGCCAUGGGCAGGUUGAAGGUUGGGUAACACUAACUGGAGGACCGAACCGACUAAUGUUGAAAAAUUAGCGGAUGACUUGUGGCUGGGGGUGAAAGGCCAAUCAAACCGGGAGAUAGCUGGUUCUCCCCGAAAGCUAUUUAGGUAGCGCCUCGUGAAUUCAUCUCCGGGGGUAGAGCACUGUUUCGGCAAGGGGGUCAUCCCGACUUACCAACCCGAUGCAAACUGCGAAUACCGGAGAAUGUUAUCACGGGAGACACACGGCGGGUGCUAACGUCCGUCGUGAAGAGGGAAACAACCCAGACCGCCAGCUAAGGUCCCAAAGUCAUGGUUAAGUGGGAAACGAUGUGGGAAGGCCCAGACAGCCAGGAUGUUGGCUUAGAAGCAGCCAUCAUUUAAAGAAAGCGUAAUAGCUCACUGGUCGAGUCGGCCUGCGCGGAAGAUGUAACGGGGCUAAACCAUG